rnacentral:rRNA from 1 species
AGCUCCAAUAGCGUAUAUUAAAGUUGUUGCAGUUAAAAAGCUCGUAGUUGGAUUUCUGGUGCAUUCCACUGGCCUAUUGGUUAACUCCAACUUGGCUUAUUUGGAAUACGCCAUCUUUAGGCAGACCCGUCGUGGCAUUAGGUUGUCGUGAUGGUUACGCCUAUCGUUUACUGUGAAGAAAUUAGGGUGUUCAAAGCAGGCUUAUGCCAUGAAUACGUUAGCAUGGAAUAAUGAGAUAGGAUUUCGGUACUAUUUUGUUGGUUUGUGUACGGAAAUAAUGAUUAACAGGAACAGUGUUGUGGGUAUUCGUAUUUCGUUGUCAGAGGUGAAAUUCUUGGAUUUACGAAAGACGAACGACUGCGAAAGCAUUUACCAAGGAUGUUUUCAUUAAUCAAGAACG